AACGAACGCUGGCGGCAGGCCUAACACAUGCAAGUCGAGCGCACCCUUCGGGGUGAGCGGCGGACGGGUGAGUAACGCGUGGGAACGUGCCCUUCUCUGCGGAAUAGCCUCGGGAAACUGAGAGUAAUACCGCAUACGCCCUUUGGGGGAAAGAUUUAUCGGAGAAGGAUCGGCCCGCGUUGGAUUAGGUAGUUGGUGGGGUAAUGGCCCACCAAGCCGACGAUCCAUAGCUGGUUUGAGAGGAUGAUCAGCCACACUGGGACUGAGACACGGCCCAGACUCCUACGGGAGGCAGCAGUGGGGAAUCUUAGACAAUGGGGGCAACCCUGAUCUAGCCAUGCCGCGUGAGUGAUGAAGGCCUUAGGGUUGUAAAGCUCUUUCAGCUGGGAAGAUAAUGACGGUACCAGCAGAAGUAGCCCCGGCUAACUCCGUG
rnacentral:rRNA from 1 species